rnacentral:rRNA from 1 species
UACGUAGGGUGCGAGCGUUAAUCGGAAUUACUGGGCGUAAAGGGCGCGUAGGCGGCCGUUUGCGUCGGAUGUGAAAGCCCGGGGCUCAACCUCGGAACGGCAUUCGAUACGGGACGGCUGGAGACCGGGAGAGGAGAGUGGAAUAGCCAGUGUAGAGGUGAAAUUCGUAGAUAUUGGCUGGAACACCGGUGGCGAAAGCGGCUCUCUGGCCCGGUUCUGACGCUGAGGCGCGAAAGCGUGGGGAGCAAACAGG